GGUAGGCAGGCUAUUCCAUAGGAAGGGAGCCGCCCGCUAGAAGUCCUGCAAGCGUGAGUUGGCCGUACGGGUGCGGACAAUGGACAGGAGGUGGUCACGGGCAGAGCGGAGAGACUGAGAAGGGACAUACCUAUGGAUCUGUGAGGAGAUAUAAGAGGGACUAGAGUUGUUCAGAGCUUUAUAGGUGUGAGUUAGUACCUUGAAU